GAAUUACUCUCAUCUAGCGUUGAGCUCAUAUAUCGCAAUCAACUCUCUCUCGCCACGCAGUUCAGAGUAUGUAUUA